GGAGGAACACGGAUGAAGCUGCCAGGCUGCGAGGAUGAGAAGAGAAGCACUGCAGUCGCCGGAGAGAGGAAGAGAGAGAAAGAGAGAGAAAUCGUAAGGGCGCAUGUGUACGCGAGCGCCCGCAUGAGGAGGGCAAAUAUCUGUGCAUGGAAAAGAAGAGGAUAUUCCAGUCUGUGCUUUCCGCUCUCCGUCUCACUGUCUUCCAGGUCAUUUUCUCCACAUGCACUUGAACUCCAAAUCCUGUCUGCCGGCCCCUCCCCCCGACCUCUGUGACUCGCUCUCCUUCGCUCCUUCUGAUGGAGGCUUGAAAUAGUGCUCGCAGGCUGUAAGUGAGAGUGAGAGGGAGGGGAGGACGAGGGGGACAGAAAGGGAGAGAGACGUGGGGGGAAGGGGAGAAGGUUUACACGAACAGAGUCUGUGCUGAGAUUAUGUGUGUGUGUGUGUCAGGCGGAGAGAAAAUGAGAGGAAGAAACCCUGUGCACAUACAUGUGUUCAGUGACUUUCUCAGAAAUUACAGUCAACUGCACAAAACAUUAAUUCUUGGAGCCAGUUUUAAACAGGGGCAUCUAUUGUCUUUGAGGGGCCACCAGUGGCAGUCCUGGCUCACUCGAUACCCUAAGGCGAGAUACGAUAUAAGCAAAUGAAUACACUUUUUAACAACUUAGUAACUCUUUACAUAUGUGCAAGACUUGUAUUUUCUAAAUAAACUGCAACUGAAUUUGA